GUUUAUGAUGAACAUCCACUUUUCACGACGGUCAACUGUUGUCCCCGAAUCUGUUUGUUUGGGGACGUUGAUGAUAUUAGCCUGUGACAGGGCGUGGUACUGACU
rnacentral:snoRNA from 1 species